rnacentral:rRNA from 1 species
GACGAACGCUGGCGGCGUGCUUAACACAUGCAAGUCGAACGGAAAGGCCCUGCUUUUGUGGGGUGCUCGAGUGGCGAACGGGUGAGUAACACGUGAGUAACCUGCCCUUGACUUUGGGAUAACUUCAGGAAACUGGGGCUAAUACCGGAUAGGAGCUCCUGCUGCAUGGUGGGGGUUGGAAAGUUUCGGCGGUUGGGGAUGGACUCGCGGCUUAUCAGCUUGUUGGUGGGGUAGUGGCUUACCAAGGCUUUGACGGGUAGCCGGCCGAGAGGGUGACCGGCCACAUUGGGACUGAGAUACGGCCCAGACUCCUACGGGAGGCAGCAGUGAGGAAUAUUGCACAAUGGGCGGAAGCCUGAUGCAGCAACGCCGCGUGCGGGAUGACGGCCUUCGGGUUGUAAACCGCUUUCGCCUGUGACGAAGCGUGAGUGACGGUAAUGGGUAAAGAAGCACCGGCUAACUACGUG